AGGACGAACGCUGGCGGCGUGCUUAACACAUGCAAGUCGAACGGUAAGGCCCUUCGGGGUACACGAGUGGCGAACGGGUGAGUAACACGUGGGUGACCUGCCUCGAGCUCUGGGAUAAGCCUGGGAAACUGGGUCUAAUACCGGAUAUGACCUCAUGUCGCAUGGUGUGGGGUGGAAAGUUUUUUCGGCUCGAGAUGGGCCCGCGGCCUAUCAGCUUGUUGGUGGGGUGAUGGCCUACCAAGGCGACGAU
rnacentral:rRNA from 1 species